rnacentral:rRNA from 16 species
AACUUUCAGCGACGGAUGUCUUGGCUCCCACAACGAUGAAGAACGCAGCGAAAUGCGAUACGUCUUGCGACUUGCAGAAUCCAGUGAAUCAUCAAAACUUUGAACGCAUCUGCGUUCCGGGAUAUGCCUGGGAGCAUGCUUGUCGGAGUGUCU